AGUGAACGCUGGCGGUAGGCCUAACACAUGCAAGUCGAACGGCAGCACAGUAAGAGCUUGCUCUUACGGGUGGCGAGUGGCGGACGGGUGAGGAAUACAUCGGAAUCUACUUUUUCGUGGGGGAUAACGUAGGGAAACUUACGCUAAUACCGCAUACGACCUACGGGUGAAAGCAGGGGAUCUUCGGACCUUGCGCGAUUGAAUGAGCCGAUGUCGGAUUAGCUAGUUGGCGGGGUAAAGGCCCACCAAGGCGACGAUCCGUAGCUGGUCUGAGAGGAUGAUCAGCCACACUGGAACUGAGACACGGUCCAGACUCCUACGGGAGGAAGCAGUGGGGAAUAUUGGACAAUGGGCGCAAGCCUGAUCCAGCCAUACCGCGUGGGUGAAGAAGGCCUUCGGGUUUUAAAGCCCUUUUGUUGGGAAAGAAAAGCAGCAGGUUAAUACCCCGCUGUUCUGACGGUACCCAAAGAAUAAGCACCGGCUAACUUCGUG
rnacentral:rRNA from 1 species